UACAGAGGGUGCAAGCGUUAAUCGGAAUUACUGGGCGUAAAGCGCGCGUAGGUGGUUUGUUAAGUUGGAUGUGAAAUCCCCGGGCUCAACCUGGGAACUGCAUUCAAAACUGACAAGCUAGAGUAUGGUAGAGGGUGGUGGAAUUUCCUGUGUAGCGGUGAAAUGCGUAGAUAUAUGAAGGAACACCAGUGGCGAAGGCGACCACCUGGACUGAUACUGACACUGAGGUGCGAAAGCGUGGGGAGCAAACAGG
rnacentral:rRNA from 1 species